AUGAACGCUGGCGGCGUGCCUAACACAUGCAAGUCGAACGGAAACUAGGCGCUUCGGAGACUUCGGUCAAUGUUUGCUUAGUUUAGUGGCGGACGGGUGAGUAACGCGUGGAUAACCUGCCAUAUACAGGGGGAUAACAGUUAGAAAUGACUGCUAAUACCGCAUAAGCGCACAGUCUCGCAUGGGACAGUGUGAAAAAACUCCGGUGGUAUAUGAUGGAUCCGCGUCUGAUUAGCCAGUUGGCGGGGUAACGGCCCACCAAAGCGACGAUCAGUAGCCGACCUGAGAGGGUGAACGGCCACAUUGGGACUGAGACACGGCCCAAACUCCUACGGGAGGCAGCAGUGGGGGAUAUUGCACAAUGGGGGAAACCCUGAUGCAAGCGACGCCGCGUGAGUGAAGAAGUAUUUCGGUAUGUAAAGCUCUAUCAGCAGGGAAGAUAAUGACGGUACCUGACUAAGAAGCACCGGCUAAAUACGUGCCAGCCGCCGC
rnacentral:rRNA from 1 species